rnacentral:piRNA from 1 species
UACACUUGGCAGUGUCUCCCCACAUGGCACU